UCAAACCUAAAAAAAACAAAAAAUCGAGACUUGCGUCUCAACCAUCUAUGAAAACAAUUCCCUCUGCUACUUCACACAAACACUAAUCAGCAAUCUCCUCCUCUCUCUGUUCUGAUUAUUAGUUGUUGUGGUUUCUUUUUUUUUACAGGUAGAAUUUGUGUGGAAACCGUUCUCUAUGCGGCAGAUCGAUCUUAUUUUAUGUUGAUAACAACAAAAAAAUUCACCAUCAAAAUUUCUUACAGAUUCACUCUCUUGAUCCUGAAGUAUGUCUGCUCAGAUGGUGUAGGAAAUCGCUCAAGCACUACGAAUGCAGAACUUGGUGUGGAAAAAGAAUGAUAUGGAAGUUGGACCAUUUAGAGCCGAGCGUGACGGAAAGAGUAUCUCAAUGAUUUCAUGGAACAAUGGGGCAUUGAACCCGUGGGCUAUCCCCUGAAGAACAUUUGAACUUCCUUGGCACAACACAAAGAAGAGUAAUGGAGCAACCAAUGGGCGAGAAAGGAGUAAACACACCGAGUUUCUAAAACGAGGUGGAAAAGUUGAGAAUGGAGAUGGCUAAUAUAAGAAUUUUCAUCAAAUGAUCGCUAAAACAAAAUUUAACUCUAAAAGCGAGCUAAAAAACGGCUAGACAACAAAUCUUCCUAGAUGUACAGUGUCAUGUAGAUUAAGAGACAGAGCCAAAGUAAAUAUGUCGGUACCACAACAUUUGGUGCAGAGCACAAGAGAGCAUAGCAGAUUCGUUGUAUAUCAACUAUAAAACAGGUUAUUACAUUCGUCGCUACUAAAAAUGGUGGUUACAGGUUCCAAGUGAGCACAAAGGAGCAUAUUAUCUGCUCUAUUAUAUUGCAGAUUCACUAUAUCAAUCGAAAGAAGUUACUGUAAACGUAUAUAAGAGACAUCUAUAAAUUCU